UGGUUGCCUUCCAAGCAGUCGAUCCGGGUUCGACUCCCGGCCGACGCA
rnacentral:tRNA from 1 species